UGCCUCCAACGGGGUUAUUAUGUUUAGCAAGGCCUCCAUCCCUGAUUGGGAAAUCCAUGCUGUGGUUCCUCUUCCACUGUCCACUACGAAGUGGAGCCUGUUUUCUUCGACAAGGGAAUCUUGGGAUUUGAAAAACAACAUCGAGAGGAAUGAAGCAGCUACCAGGAAGAAAGAAGAGUGAAAUGCAUGUUUUGAGUAUUUAAGAUGGCAAUUCUGCCUAGGCUUUCAA